rnacentral:lncRNA from 1 species
GCUUCUAGUCUAGUUUCAAGGGUCUCUAGUUUUCUUAUCUUUUGGCAAUAGCCAUUCCAGUUUCUCUUUCAAUAUAUAUACUUGUUUAUAUAUAUUUUGUUACCUCUCUUUGAGUGAAGGCUCACUUGACUGAAUUGUUUUUUCAUCGAGUUCUUAUCCUUGACAAAAAGGCCCUAGCUUGUCCUAUUUAUACUUUGUUCUACCACCUUGCACUUUCUAGAAUGUUCUUAGGUUGUGGAUCCUACUUAGAUAACUGCCUUAAAUUUCUUUUACAAGGUUCUAUGGUAUAUUCUAUCCUACAUAACCACCCUAAAUUCUUUCUAGAAUGUUCUACAAUAGGUCCUACUUGGUCUAAUAACUUAAUCCCAAUUCUAAAAACUUCCAUGGUUCUAACUAUCUAUCUCUAUACAAAUAUCUAUACUUUAUUACACUAAAGAUCUUAGAAAUACUCACUGACCUUCAAAUUCCAAUUUUUGAGACCUCAACUCACAAACACCUUAACAUACUUUGAUCUAAUUAUUUGAUUGACCUCAAAAUUUGUUACAUAUUAACAACUAAUAUACCAAUGCAUUGUCCAAAAUUCACCUAUAUGCACAUUGCAAAACUCAAGAAAUCAUCAAAUUUAUAAACAUAUUUUUAUUUCUCAAGAUCUAAACUCACUAAAAAUAUUAUUAAAUUUGAAAAUCUGCCAAAAACUCAAUAUUGACUUAAUUGAAAUAAAACCAAAGCUCAAAAUAUUUUCCUUAAGUUAAUUCUCAUAUCUUAUUCUUUGAUCUACCAAAGAUCUUUGGAAUCACCGUAGGUAUAUGGUUUUGUGCCUUAAGAUUUGAUUUCGACUGAGAUUGACAACCAAUCCUCUCCUAG